rnacentral:rRNA from 1 species
UACAGAGGUCUCAAGCGUUGUUCGGAUUCAUUGGGCGUAAAGGGUGUGUAGGUGGCGCGCUAAGUCGGGUGUGAAAUUUCGGAGCUUAGCUCCGAAACUGCAUUCGAUACUGGCGUGCUUGAGGACUGGAGAGGAGACUGGAAUUCAUGGUGUAGCAGUGAAAUGCGUAGAGAUCAUGAGGAAGACCAGUGGCGAAGGCGGGUCUCUGGACAGUUCCUGACACUGAGACACGAAGGCCAGGGGGGCAAACGGG